GCUGGGCAGGGUGGCUCAUGCCUGUAAUCCCAGCACUUUGGGAGGCUGAGGUGGGAGGAUCACUUGAGACCAGGAGUUCAAGACCAGCCUGGGCAACAUAGGGAGACCCCAUCUCUU
ensembl:misc_RNA Metazoa_SRP Metazoan signal recognition particle RNA